GAAAUGCAGCCGGUUCUAUCUAGCUCGGGCAAACCAGUAGCGCCUGCAGUGGAAGGCUCCGCCCACCUGCCCGGACGUCAUCAUGUCCUGUUUUUGAUGCUCGGCACAUGCGCAGGAGGUCCUGCACAUGCACAUACUCAGAAGUGUCACACGCGAGCGAAGCAAGCAUGUGCACACACAUGCUCCCAUUUGCAAACAGGUAGUGAAGCUUUAACGUAUGGCACGACAAGGAAAAAGAUGCCCCAAUUCAGUGGUGAAAUCUGAACUGGUUUACUACCAGUUCGCUGGCUGCGCUGCAUAUAUGCAUGUAAAAUGCGCGCCCGCAGUGCACGCCAAAAGGAAGCAUGGGAUCAGGGGGUCUCCAACUUUAGUAGCUUUAGGUUUGUGGACUUCAAAUCCCAGAGUUCCUCAUUCAGCAAAGCAGGAAGUCAAAGCAGGCUGUAAUCAGUAGCUGAAGUAAGCAUUGCGUUGCCAGCCCGAAAGGAGCAGUAUGCAGUAAUUAUAGGAAAAUUAUACAGCAGCAUCAGCAGCAGCGUUCCUAGUGCUGGGCCAAUGAGGGAUAGUGGGCGACCAAGUUUGCUUCUUCAACUUGAUGUGUGCUCCUGCAUGGCAUCGCUUUUGUGUGGGCACAGCUCAACUUAAAAGCUUCUUUCAAGCAGCAUGAAUGCCCUUCUUUUUCAACUCCCCCCCCCAACACCAACCCUUUUUUGUAUUGAUAGCUGGGGGAGCGGGGGAAGGGAAGGUUGUUUAAAAAGGAAGGGUAGACAAUCAGAACAAAAUGAAGAGCUUUCACUUCCAUUAUGAGCAUGUCGUGCUAUUCUUCUCAGCUGUUUAUACAUUCCCAGCACAAUAAUGCUUCUUUGCAAUCAUAUGUUUCCCCUUUUACACUAUUCAUAUUGGGGUGGAGGAAGGGGAGGAAGAGAAAGGGAGAGAAAGCCCUCACAUCGUGACCGUGGUAAUAAAAUCCCAUAGAAAUGUGGGUAUAAUGUCAAUUUGCAUUCUGUGAGAAGAUCAAGGUAAACCUAAAGGCCAAAGAGAAUAUUCUGCUAAUGCUCAUUCAUCAUUCUGCAGGCCCAGGUAAAAAGAAGGACCUUGUCACUACUCCGCAAACCCUUUUCAAUUGCCAGCACAUUUGUGUGAAUAUUUUAGCCUAAUGCACCGAUUGUUAAACAGAAAAGGACGGGCUUUGAAAUGGGCUACUGCGCUCAAAUCCCUAGCUGCACAAGGCACGGGCAAGAACGGGCCCUAUUCAGAGGGGAGAACUAAAGGAGGCUUUAGUUCAGUAAGCACAGUGUGCAUGAAGGUUACCGAGGAUAUUGUGUCUCGGUAAAUGAAGGUUUCCCAAGGAAAGGGGAAAAAAGGUCUGAUAUGCUGUCUCUGCACACGCCCCAACAGAAGUAUAACUGCACGGCAACGUUUUGAUAUUUGUUUGUUUGUUUUUUAAUCGUGAUUUAUGAAAGUUUGUGGCUUUAACGGAUGUGGAGAUUCGAAGCAGGCCCAAACUAUUUAAUUGGCCAACUGAAAUCCAGUCCCCAGUUUGCCCCUAUAGAAAAACAGCAAGACUGAAAUGUGUUUGAAUAUUAGUAGUUCGGGUUGGUAGUUAAUUCUGUUGGUUUGAGCUCCGAACUUGGCACUUUGGUUGCAAACGUUUCGUCACCAUUCGAGCACACAUCGUCAGG